GCAUCAAUGGUGUAGCGGUAACAUUGGGUCUUCCCACUGAUCAAAUCAGAGUGUGGCCUAGCUCCGGGUUCGACUCCCGGUUGAUGCA